AACGAACGCUGGCGGCAGGCCUAACACAUGCAAGUCGAACGCGCGUAGCAAUACGCGAGUGGCGCACGGGUGAGUAACACGUGGGAAUCAACCCUGAGGUUCGGAAUAACCGCGGGAAACUGCGGCUAAUACCGGAUGUCCCCUAUGGGGGAAAGAUUUAUCGCCUUGGGACGAGCCCGCGUCCGAUUAGCUAGUUGGUGAGGUAACGGCUCACCAAGGCUACGAUCGGUAGCUGGUCGAGAGGAUGACCAGCCACACUGGAACUGAGAUACGGUCCAGACUCCUACGGGAGGCAGCAGUGGGGAAUAUUGGGCAAUGGAGGCAACUCUGACCCAGCCAUGCCGCGUGGGUGACGAAGGUCUUCGGAUUGUAAAGCCUUUCGGCGGAGACGAUGAUGACGGUAUCCG
rnacentral:rRNA from 1 species